CAGGAGCCCCCAUGGGAUAUAAUUUGAAACACUUUAGAUAAAAUGCAUAGAUUGGAGAAUUGAAUGUGAAAUUCUCAUUUUUAAAGAAAGAUAAAGGCUUCAAGGAAAUUUCAAGGUAAGUGGGGAGAAUGUAGAGUUUAUCUCCAGACCUCCAAAAGUACAGGCUCACUCUUCUUCACUAUUGAGGAUAUUUGGUAGAAAAUUUUAGUUGUAUUUAUUUAAAGAAUAUAAAGAAGAUUGCUAGGAAUGAGAAAACCAUUAUCUGAAAAAGGAACUGAAGAUGUUCAAUUCUUUCAAAAAUUGCUUUUCUCUUUGCGUUUUCAUUUGGAGUCUUCUGAAAGAAUUGAGAAAGAACAAGAAAAAUAAUGAAGAAAAAAAAUCAAUUGCUUUAAAUGAUCCAAAUAACUAGGGCUCAGUGCUUCUGGGCAACUUUACAGGAAAUAUUGAAAAAUGGGUUUUUGGCCCAGGAACAACUUAAAUGAAUCCAACAAAGGCAAACAAGGAGUACAAGAUCUCUCUUCUGUGCUCUGGCAUUUAGAUUCAGGAAAUGGGAAGAAUCCAAGACAGUGGUUCUCUUCUAGGUGAGACGCACCUAAGACAAAGAGUGCAGGGAAAGAACAUUGAACGGGGACUGAAGACCUAGUUUUGCAUUUUAGCUUCAAGGCCAAUGGGGUGUAGGCAAUUUGUUUAACUUCUCUUGGAUGCUUCAUCUGUAAAUUGAGGGGUUAGACUCAUUGUCUCUGAGUCUCAGGGUUAGAAAGAACCUCAGGGGCCAAUUAAUCCAAUCUUUCCUCAAUGUAGUGGUUGUAAGUCUCUUGCUUGAACAGUUUCAGAGAUGAGAAGACAUCUGCUGUCAGAAGUCAGAAGUCAGAAGACUUGAGUCCAGGCCCAAUUGGGAAACUGACCAAAUAUCUAGACUGGCACUUACACCAUCAGCUUUCCUGAUUCUCGGGCCUCCUGACUAAGACUGGAACUACAUUGCCAGGUAUCCUGGGUAUCCAGCUGGCAGAUGGUCCUAUGUGGAAACUGAUACCCUAACCCAAAAGAACGCACGUACGGGGUGGUGGAGGGAGUCACAUCUCUUGGAAGACUGGUAUGUGGACUUUUUCUUUUGCUCCAACUUAGAUUAAUUGUGUGACCUCAGGCAAGGCAUGUUCCUGUUCUUGGACCAACUGUCUCCAUCAUGUAACAUACCUUUUUUACAGUCCUUUCCUCCCCUGGUGGUCAGUGGUUCUUAUUCUUUCCAGAUUCAAAUCUAAUUACAGUUAUAGAGGGGAUCUUGCAGAGCACCACACAUAGACAGCUGAAUGCUAGUCUCUUUCUGUCAGAAUUCUGUCUACACUGAAGGAGUGCAAUCCUAUAAGGUCAAUCCUAGGAGGUCAAUUUGCUCCUGAAUUAAGAAUGUUCUGACUUAAGAGUGACUCCAGCACCAGUUACAAGGAAAGAACACCAAAGUGGGAGGGUGCCUAAUAAACAAAUCUAGCUGCUUGCCAAGCAAACAAAGAGGUUGUAUUUUAUUUUAUCUGGCAAGCAUCAGUAACACAAAAUGCUGAGUGGGGGUUCUAAAUGAAAACUGUCUCCUUCACUUAUGUGAAUUUAUAACUGUCUAUAUCAGCAAAGAAAAUUACUGAAUAGAAGUAUUUAUCCGCUCACUUGUUAAUGACAUGAGACACACAGGUCUUUAACCAUUUACCAUGAAAGGCAAGCUUAGUCAAAAAGCAGCUUAUUUAUCCUGGGGAAACAUUGGCAAUGAUUCUUGUAGUGGUGAUUUGGUGUGAUAAAACUCUAUUGUCUGGGGGCAGCUAGCAGGCAAGGAGCCAUUCAGAAGAGUUACAAAACUAAUCUUUACUGGAUUUGUCACAAACAAAGGAUGAAACAUUCAUGCAAGAAGUCAAGAUCCAUCCUGGGCUAUAAGCCACUGUUCCCCCUCCCAGCCCGCUGAGAAAAUUCAAUACAUUCAAGCUAGUCAGCAAACAGACCAGAGACUCUGAAAUUGAUUAAAUCUACGAUGUGUUUAUUAUGCUCCUUGUGACUUAGCAGACAGGGCCUUGUAGGGGAAGGGAAGGGAAAAAAAGCUAAACAAAACAAAACUGCUUGUUAUUCCAAAUGGAUACGCUGGUUUCUGUUUCCCGGUCUCCAUGGAUUUCAGUGAACCAUCAUGGUCCAAGUGUUUCGCACCCAGAUCGAGGCUGAGUCGCAAAGGAGCUUAUGGGCUUUCUCGGCACCGAAGGAUAAACCCAGAAGAGAUACAAUUGAGACCUGGCUGGGAGUGAAGGGUCUCUGAGUCCUGCUCUGCAGGGAUAAGCUGCAAACUGUGUGAACGGUUCAUAUUCCUCUAAUUAACCCAAGAAACAGAUCUGUAUCACUGUUGAUUGGUUCAGCCUUAGAAAACACACACACACACACACACACACACAUACACACACACACCAUCUCCUCAACUUUUCUCUCUUCUCCUCUCAAUAUGUGGUUUCUUUGCUGCUUCUUAACUGGAGAAAAUAUUAAUGGUAGCUCUUGCUCGCUCUUGUUCUUUCUCUCCUCACACAUUGAUACAUGCCAGAAACUAACCAUGCCCAAUUUUCAAGAUGGCUUUUUAAAUGCAAUCUAUUGUUCACGAAAACAUUAAGCAAUCAUUUUCUCUAGAUGCUACAACCUUACGUGAUUAUUUUUACUUUCUUUUUUGUGUGUGUACUUGUUUUUCACGUUGUGUAUACUUUCACAACUGCAUGUGACAUGUUUACGGUAAGAAUUAACUUUCAUUUUAAAGAGGAAACAAAGGCAAUUUGUACACAACAGUGCAUAAUGAUUGCAGAUUUUGUAAGAACUAUCUGUUCAACAAUAAGAAUCAGGAGGAGGAAUAUACUCCAAAAAAAUUCCGUUGUUUGCUUUCUGAUUAUAACGUGGCUUAGUAGUUAAUGCAGAAGUAAAACAUUCAAACACAUGAUUUUCAAGGCCAUUUGAGCCUCAGAGCAUUAGGCAAGAAGAGUGAAGAGGGCCCAACUGCCAGGUCAAUAGAGAAAAUAUGGUUCACCCUCUUUCAGGGCAUUGCUUCUAAAGGAUUCUCUGGAGAUGAAAUACAGUUCAUGUCAAGAUCAUGGCCAUGGCUGUGAAGCUUAGUAAAUAGACUUUCUGUACUUCCAAAAGCUUGAACAUAAUGUUGCUCUGCCUAGUCACCAGAGCAUGAUUCAAACCUGGGUUGUCUUUCACCUUUGGCAUCAUACCAACUGAUGCUAAACCUCAAUUUGGAAUAAAGAUGGAAUAAUGAUGCUAAACCUCAAUUUGGAAUAAAGUAUGUCCUAGACAUACUGUGCAGUGGAGAUUUUAGAAGUGACUAGCUUCAGAAAAGCAGACGUUUUUUCUCUCCAUAUUCUCUAAUCCUUCUCUAAAGCACCAAAUAGCAAGCAUAUGCCCAAGGAUUAAUGGUAAAUCUCCAGUACAGUGAAGAGAGGAAGCCUAAAGCUUGACUGGCUGCUAAAAAGACAUUAACAGUUACUUCUCAAAACUGCUUUAAAUGUAGGGCUGUACUCAUUUUUUAAUGCAUUUAUAAAGGGCAGGAGAAAGAAAGAGAGAAGGAAAGAAAAUCAAGAAAGGGAGAAGAAACAACGGGAAGGGGAUGGAAAGAAAACGUAUGCAGGGUUUCUUUCAAAUUGGAGCUGACACUCAAUAAAUUUGCUAAAGCUACCUUAUACUUUGUAUACCCUCCUUUGUUGUUAGGAUUAUAUAAACCCAUUACAUAGUUACAAUGUAAAAAUUAAUCAGAGAGUGGGACAUAAAAUUAAGUAUGUGACGUAAGGUGACAUUUGAGUAUGGGAAUUUUUUUCCCCAGCUCUGACAGAGAAUCCUGAAUGCUGGAAGGCACCAUACGGCUAGAAUGUGGGCCCCAGAGAAAAAGAAAUCUAAGCCCUGUGGACAGUUUACUUAGAAUGAGAACAUUUGUAACUUCAUUAUGGUGUCCAUAAAAGUAAACAGAAUGCUACAAGAAUUCUAGGGAUUAAGAAAGAAGGUUUUAAUAUUGGCACACUUGAGAUGCUAUUGCAAUUUGAUGAUUCUGCUCCAUAGAGCAGUAUGUUUCAGACUGAAAUUAGGAAGUUACUUUUCCAGGAAAAAGACAUGAGAACCAUGUAUGCAUUUACUCCAACUCUGCAGCAAGCAAUGAAAUAAGAAGGUAAACCACCCUUCAGAACACUCAGAGUGCUCUCAGAAAAGCAGAGAGAGACACAGUUCCCAGUGCCCUGCAAAUAGCAGAAUACAUCCCCAGGAUUACAAGUGGUGUUUUUUUCCCCAAGCAUGUAGGGAAUAAAAACCUCCUUAGCAACAGCACCGAGAAAGGCCAUACUCAAACUUUGGGCAAGUGUAUAAAUAUAAACAAGUAAAUGAAAUUGAUAAAACAACAACAGCUUUCCUCCCCCAAAUGGAAAAGCUCUUCCAUUUGUAUAACCAAGAUUGAUGAAUGAUACCACGAUUUAAAAGACUGGAAUAAUUUGAUGCCUACUUUCAAUAAUGAACAUAGCAUCCAGAGAGGAUGGCAAUAAGGACAUAGCAGACCUAAACCAUACUGAGACAUAUACAGAACAUUCCACUGAAAAACAGCAGAACGCACAUUCUUCUCAAGCACACAUGAAACAUUGUACAGAACAGAUCAUACAUGAGGUCAUAAAACAAAUCUUAACAAACUUAAUAAAAUUAAAAUCUUCCCAAGUGUCUUUUCUGACUCAAUGGAAUAAAAUUAAAAAUCAAUAUCAUAAGAAAAACAGGAAAA